ACAGGGAGAGAUUGAGAUAUACUAGGUGUGUAAGCGGCAGGGAUUGACUUAACCAACCAGACAUUUAAACUUUCCGUAUCCUUCCCUUUAAAGACAUUGGGCACUACGCAACUUUGUAUUGUCAUUUUGGUGUGUCAGAGAGAGCGAGAGAGAGGGAGUGAGGGAUGAGUGCUGUCACAAUUGUGCCAAUUGUGUGCUGGCAGUGGAAUAUAUAAAAUCAUCCAGAUAAAGUCCUGAGACUCUUUACCCUGAUGACCUAAAACUAUGCCGGUAUAAAGCAGCUGUGUCGGGCUGCACUGAGCCGGUGUGAUGCACACUGGGCUGAUCCGCCCCUUCCUCCCGGCGGAGCCCCGGCGCACCUCAGCUGGCAGUGAGGCAGCACAACCCGGGGAUGGAUGUUCCUGUCGAACAGCCACACGCACACCAACUACCUUCCUCGGUGGAAUCCCGUCAUUGUGCCUCUCUGUGUUUCUUCUGCUUGCCACGGAGGCUGCCGACGGUGAGGCGAGGAGCUGAAGGUGGCAUGGGCCAAAACUGCCGGUCCUAUGUGUAACUCUGGAGAUGGAUCGGACAUCCCGGCGAACACACACAGGCUGUGAAAACCAAGUGAAGGGGCUGGGCUGGAGUGAAGAGGAUGCCACAGUGCCUCCUCUGGGAUCUUCAGUGCUACUGUCCUGUUCCCACCACACACUUCUUCUGGAUGAUGGAGGGAGAGCCCUUCACCUCUGCAUUCUCCUCUCUGCUCUACUCCGCAGGGGAACACUUUGUUGCUCUCUCCUCCUCCUCGUCUUCCACCUCAUCCUCAACAGAUUCAGCCAUUACUGCCAUGUCCCUGGAGCA